CUCUCGGUAGCCAAGUUGGUUUAAGGCGCCAGACUGUAAAGUUCAAGAGUCAUCUGGAGAUCGGGCGUUCGACUCGCCCCCGAGAGA
rnacentral:tRNA from 3 species